rnacentral:rRNA from 1 species
GUACGGGGGGGGCAAGCGUUGUUCGGAAUUACUGGGCGUAAAGAGCGCGCAGGCGGUCGUUCAAGUCGCGUGUGAAAGCCCCCGGCUCAACUGGGGAGGGUCACGCGAUACUGAUCGACUCGAAGGCAGGAGAGGGUAGUGGAAUUCCCGGUGUAGUGGUGAAAUGCGUAGAUAUCGGGAGGAACACCAGUGGCGAAGGCGGCUCACUGGCCCGAUACUGACGCUGAGGCACGAAAGCGUGGGGAGCAAACAGG